CCUACGGGCUGCUGCAGUGAGGAAUAUUGGUCAAUGGGCGGAAGCCUGAACCAGCCAAGCAGCGUGCAGGAUGACGGCCCUACGGGUUGUAACCUGCUUUUAUACGGGAAUAACGCGCCUUACGUGCAGGGCUUUGCACGUACCGUAUGAAUAAGGACGGGCUAAUUCCGUGCCAGCAGCCGCGGUAAUACGGAAGGUCCGGGCGUUAUCCGGAUUUAUUGGGUGUAAAGGGAGCGUAGGCCGCAUGUCAAGCGUGAUGUGAAAUGUCCGGGCUCAACCCGGGCCCUGCAGCGCGAACUGGCGUGCUUGAGUCCGCGGAAAGCAGGCGGAAUUCGUCGGGUAGCGGUGAA
rnacentral:rRNA from 1 species